rnacentral:lncRNA from 1 species
GCCAGCAGGAAGGCGGGGACCCGGGGCAAGGUGGCAGCCACCAAGCAGGCCCAACGUGGUUCUUCCAACGUCUUUUCCAUGUUUGAACAAGCCCAGAUACAGGAGUUCAAAGAAAGCUGGGGGCUGCUCCCACCUGAAGGCCCCCAUCCCACAGGCCUUCAGCUGUAUCGACCAGAAUCGUGAUGGCAUCAUCUGCAAGGCAGACCUGAGGGAGACCUACUCCCAGCUGGGGAAGGUGAGUGUCCCAGAGGAGGAGCUGGACGCCAUGCUGCAAGAGGGCAAGGGCCCCAUCAACUUCACCGUCUUCCUCACGCUCUUUGG